GUAAAGUGGCGCACGGGUGAGUAACGCGUAGAUAACCUGUCUUCAUGUCUGGAAUAAUACGCCAAAGGGGUACUAAUACCGGAUAUUCUUGCUUUUCAUAAGUUAUGCAAGCAAAGGUGGCCUCUGCAUAUGCUACUGCAUGAAGAGGGGUCUGCGUACCAUUAGCUAGUAGGUGGGGUAAUGGCCUACCUAGGCGACGAUGGUUAGCGGGUCUGAGAGGAUGAUCCGCCACACUGGCACUGGAACACGGGCCAGACUCCUACGGGAGGCAGCAGUGAGGAAUAUUGCGCAAUGGGGAAACCUGACGCAGCGACGCCGCGUGAGUGAGGAAGGCCUUCGGGUCGUAAAGCUCUGUCAAGAGGAAAGAAGUGUACAAUGGCUAAUACCUGUUGUAUUUGACGGUACCUCUAAAGGAAGCACCGGCUAACUCCGUGCCAGCAGCCGC
rnacentral:rRNA from 1 species